GCAAAAUCACGGAGAGGCAUCCCUUUUUGAAUUUCAUGUGUAUGAAAAAUGAAGCCUGUGGCAUAGUGGGGGCAGAGUGGUAAAUUAUAUGGAGAGACAGAAGACUGAGAAAGGGGAAGGUUAUUUAAGGAGAUAGGCCUACGAUGGAUUUGGAGAUCCUGACCUGCUGGAGUACAGGGCUGAAUAAGAGAAGUGGUGUGGCUUUCAGGGCACUGGAGGAUGAAAGAGAAGGGAAGAGAAGCUUCAUCAAUGCCUUGAAGAGCUUCUGUCUUGGAACCUGUAAGAUGAAGUGAAGCUACAUGGCCCAAAGGGGUAGAUUGUGACAGACACAGAGAUGAGCUUCUCAGAUCCCCGCUCAAGAGAGGACUAUCUGCCCACUUCUGAUGAGUGUGAUCAGCUGACCUUCUAGCUGUUAGCUCAUUAAGAGUCACCUUAGAUUCCAAGGCAAAGUCCUUUCCUUUCCUUUCCAAGGUGGCUUUUGACCAAUGGUUUUCCAAGGUGGUGUACAGGAACCUAACCAUCUCUCCUCACAAAGGACUCCCUAAUGAGCAAUCUUUACUCUGUUGCUUAAAGUCAAGGAGACUUUAUAGAGUCAGCAUCAAGUUCUGACAACUCCUCCUAACCAAUUCCACUUGCAUCCCUCUCUUUCCAUGGAUGUUAACAAUAAACCUUUC
rnacentral:lncRNA from 1 species